AGUUCAUACAUGCGCAGCCGGUGGUGGACAAAAGCGUGAUGCCAAAAAUAAAAAUAUUGUCGCGUUUGCUGCGUCAAGUUUUCGUGUGUAAUUCCCAAUUAAAAAUAUAGCAAGAAAAAAACACAAAUUUCAUUGUCAAAUAGUAAAUUACAUAUCUCAAACAACGCAUAAUCGGAAGAUUAUCAUUUCUUGUAGUAGGAAGCAAUAUUUCCCCAUUUAUUUGUUUAUUUAGUUUAUGAUGAAAAGCAAUAAAAGUGAAAAAUUUGCAGUGUGUUGAAAAUUUGGCGAAAUUACGCAUUUCGUUUCUGCUUGAUGGUGGGUUUGAGAAGACGAAACUAGUACAAAAAGGGAUUGGAAAAAAUUUUAAAAACAAAAAUCUUCAAAACGCGUGGUGUUAUGAAGGUGCAGAUAAAGAAAAGGGACGUCAGUUGCAAAAAUAACAAUAUCCAACGUGUAAAUAAAUAAAAUUUAUUUCGCAACCAAUAACAAUGGAAAACAAGUGUAACAAAACACCGAAUACGAAUAGCAAAUACAUGGAUCAUGUUUAUUGUCAUCCAACCGAAAGUAAAAACUAUAUUCGCGCCAACAACAAUGCGGGGGGUGGCGGCGGUGCUGCCUCAGCAGCGAAUGCAGACUACCUGGCGCUUUUGAAAGAAAAUAAACAGCUUCGAGCAAUGUUGAUUUUACAUUUGGAUUUAAUACAAGCACAAAGUGACCAACUUCAAGUGAAAGACAAACAACUUGCUUCUCAAAACGAAGAACUUGAUGGCUUACGUACUAAAAAUCAACAAUUGGAAACACAAGUGCUUGAUUUACAAAAACAACUGCAGCGACAUAUAAAGCGAACUGCGUUGUCGCCACCUCCUCUGGCGAAGAUACAACGCAAAACAGAACCGAUAUUAACUAAUGUUGUAUCGCCUGCCACCGCAGCAACAGUGACAAAUUCUUCAGGACAAAAUAUCAUUGGCGAAUGCAAUGGUAAACUUAUAAGUAAAAUAAUUUUGCACCGAGUUAGUCUGCCAGAACAUAGUCCUAAUUCGACAACGACCGGUACUUCCGAUACCACGUCCGAAGCGGAUGAUAGCGCGACUAGCAAAACAAAUGCCGACCAAGAUGACAAUGAUGACGAUGGUGAGGAAGAUGAUGCUGAUAUGGAAGAGACCGGCGAGACUACGGGCAACACUACUGAAGAUAGUAACGACGUGGUGGAGUCCGUACAUUCCAAACCAAUGCAUGCACAACGCAGAAUAUCACCCGUGCAAGUGACGCGAGGCGCUAAGCCCAUACGGCAAAUGCCAGUAGCGUCUUCAGCCGCACCGGUGAAAACAGCGAAGCCGCAAACAACAACUACUGCUCUGACUACUAUGCCCCCUUUGGUCUCUACCACCGCAACAACAACCACGGCGACGACAACGCAAGUGUGUGUUACGCCACCAACGCCAAGUCGUGGCAAACAAAUGCCAUUAAUGCUUUGGCAUGCACCAGAUUUACAAUCCGAUGAAUCGGCAAGUUGUGAGUCGCUUGGCGAACUAUCUGAUCAGCGUUCUAUGGGUGCGUCACCAGCUUCACCUAAAAUUGAAAAUCAAACUAAAAAACCAAAAGGUAGCACAAGAGCACAACAUACGCUGCGCAGCAGUUCACAAACGCAGCCGCAACCCCGUCAAAAUAAACCAAGGCGUUGUGCGUACAUAUCCACACCACAAAUGUAUUGCACACGCGCGUGGGAAGAUGAAGAGGUUGUAGCCGAUGGUUAUGAGUUCAUGAAGGAAGAAGCCGAAGCGCUCCAUGCCGAUGCGCCAAUGCUGGAAAUACCUAAAUGGACGGAGCAUGAACUUGCCGUAUCUUAUUGUAUUGAGGGUACCGAAAAUCUUUCAGACGAAACUUUCCUUAAGCGCCAUGAAAAAUUAGAAUUAGCCGAGAAGCGACGCAAAAAAUGGGAUGUACAACAAAUACGGGAACAGCGACGUAUCGAAAAAUUAAAGCGACGCCAUUGUAAAGAUGAAAUACAAGUUCCACCGGAACAACAACCACUCUUGAGUUUCUACCCACAACCCGAUACAAUACAGACUAUAUGCUUUACCAGCGAUCUACCCGUACAAGCAUUUGGUGAACUUGUACCCAAAUUGAAUGUUCUAAACGAAUUUGACUUACCGUGGUUGGACACAUUAUCUAUUACCGCACGCUUACCAGGUUCAUCAACAACUGGCUCUGUUGUUUUGGCACAAAAUACAGUAAACACAUCUUCAGCGCAAGGCCAACAACAGCUUAUGAAUUCAACAUUUGUUUUUGUUAAGAAACGCAAACGGCAACAAAGCGGUACUACGGCUGCCACUGGUGGUGCGCUAACAGCACGUCAGCGCGGUGCGUUGCGCAGAGCGGCGGCAGCAGCUGCAGCAGUCGCUACAGCUGCAACGCCUGCGACUACAUCGACGACUGUUACGCCUGAACCUACAGUGGUAACAUCACAAGCAUCAUCAACAGAGGUAACAACUUCAAUAACUGCGUCUGCGAAUCCCAACUUGCCAAUAGCUGUCGUUUCAGCGACUGAGGGUGGCACAGCCGAUGAAACGCCAAAGUAGUUUAGCUUCAGCGCCGCUUUCAGUUCUUUGUAUACUAAUAUGUUGGAAAAGUUCCGAAAUUACAUAGGAAACUAUUAUUGGUCUCAAAAAAGUUGAAAUGAUUGAAUUUAUUGUUAAAUUUCUAAAAAAAUCGAAUACCAAACAAUAUCUUAAGAAAACAACAUAAGCGUAAAACAUAGUAAUAUUUCUGUAUAUAGUUAAAUUAUUAAAUAUACAUAUAUAUUUACCGUUAUUUUUUCAAAAAUGAAUAAAAAUUACGCAUAUACGCAUAUAGCGCAGAAAAAAACAUGUUGAUCUAUAAGCACAUAAAUGAAAAUUUACUUGUAUAUAUUUAGCAAAAAAAAAAAAAA
rnacentral:misc_RNA from 1 species